GACCGCGUAGCUCAGUUGGCAGAGCAUUGGGCAGGUAUUCCAAAGGUCGUAGGUUCGAUUCCCACCGUGGCCA